rnacentral:rRNA from 1 species
CGUAACAAGGUCUCCGUUGGUGAACCAGCGGAGGGAUCAUUACCGAGUUUACAACUCCCAAACCCCUGUGAAUAUACCAAUUGUUGCCUCGGCGGAUCAGCCCGCUCCCGGUAAAACGGGACGGCCCGCCAGAGGACCCCUAAACUCUGUUUCUAUAUGUAACUUCUGAGUAAAACCAUAAAUAAAUCAAAACUUUCAACAACGGAUCUCUUGGUUCUGGCAUCGAUGAAGAACGCAGCAAAAUGCGAUAAGUAAUGUGAAUUGCAGAAUUCAGUGAAUCAUCGAAUCUUUGAACGCACAUUGCGCCCGCCAGUAUUCUGGCGGGCAUGCCUGUUCGAGCGUCAUUUCAACCCUCAAGCCCAGCUUGGUGUUGGGACUCGCGAGUCAAAUCGCGUUCCCCAAAUUGAUUGGCGGUCACGUCGAGCUUCCAUAGCGUAGUAGUAAAACCCUCGUUACUGGUAAUCGUCGCGGCCACGCCGUUAAACCCCAACUUCUGAAU